UGCUUAAUUUGGGACAGAAUUAGGAUGUUUAUACGUUUUUUGUUACAUCUUACUUUAUGACAAAAGGAGCCUUGAACUUAUUAUAUGAAACACUUGCUGGAUUACUUCUCAGAAAUGUACUUGCCUCUCAAUCCAGUCAAAUGGAUAACAAUGCAGUCAACAAGGAAAUGGAUCUGUAAAGAGGGCACUGAUGCUAACAGCCUCUGCAAGACUAACAGACUGAGGUCAAGACAAGUUCUUCUUCAAAGCCUUCAUUAAUUCCAAGUGAUGAGUGAAGUUAAUGGGAAGUUUUCUUCCCACUGAGGUGCAGAUUUAAUGCCUGCUUAAGAACACAGAGAAAGCCUGUCUCAAACUGAAAGCAAAGAAAAUGCAUAGGCUCCUUGAAAGGUAUGUGAAAAGUCUGAUAAAGAACCAUGUGCGAUGGAACGAUUUUGACUGCACAACCCAGACAUGCGUGGAUGAAACUAUUUCAAUUGCACAUCCUAGCCAGAAUAAAGUGAUGCCUUGAUUCUCUAAUACUGAAAAGAUGUUGUUGGAGCGUUUCAGUCUUUCCUGCAUUUUGAUGACAACUUGAUUGAAAAAGGC